GGGGCCGUGAAAUAAGGCCCGACGGGCCCCGGGGCGCGUGCGCGGACCGACACUGUCAGCUCCUAACGCCGCAGGUUCCUCCUGGUCCCCGAGGCCCCCGGUCGGGCGUUGCCUGCCCCGCGCGGGCGGCCGGGCCGAGGGACGAUGGUCAGUGGACGGACGGCGCCAGGGAGCAGUGCCCACGCGCGGCAGGGCGGUACCUUCAGGCCUCCAGGUACGGGCGCUCCUCGCCCGGACGCUGCUGUGUGUGAAUGGGCGCGAGGGGACUCCCCUGCGGGGCGGACGCCUGAACACGAGGCUGUGGAGGAGGACGCUGUAGGGUGCGCGGACUCACGCGGAACAUGCCAGAGGCUCAGCCAGCCACGGCGCUCCCAGCGUGGAGGGCGAGGGGCAUCCGGGAGCGGCCGGGAGGGCUCGGUCACCCCUCAAGCUGUCACCCCAGUCCCACAACCAGCACCCCGAUCCUAUCGCAGUCCCACAGCCGACACCCCGAUCCCACCCCUGCCCAACAGCCGGCACCCACCCCAAUCCCAUAGCUAACACCCCGGUCCCACCGCUGUCCCACGGCCGGCACCCCGAUCCCACCCCAGUCCCGCAGCUGGCACCCCGAUCCCACCCCAGCCCAACAGCUGGCACCCACCCCGAUCCCACCGCUGUCCCACAGCCGGCACCCCGAUCCCACCCCAGUCCCGCAGCCGGCACCCCGAUCCCACAGCCGGCACUCACCCCGAUCGCAUAGCAUAGCUGAUACCCCGAUCCCACCCCAGUCCCAUAGCCAGCACCCCGAUCCCACCCCAGUCCCAUAGCCAGCACCUCGAUCCCAUAGAUGACACCCCGAUCCCGCCCCAGUCCUAUAGCCCGCACCCCGAUCCCACCCGAGUCCCGCAGCCGGCACCCCAUCCCACCCAUGUCCCACAGUCGGCACCCCGAUCCCACUCGGAUCCGGCAGCCAGCUUGGAUCCUGUGGCCCUCCUCCAGCCCCCAGGGCUCAUUUAUAUGUUUUAUUGGCAGAGGCUGGGGCUGGCUCUGUUGGCCUCUGUGCUGGGUUUCUUCCUCUGCACCGCAGGACUGGCUCUCCUGACCUCUCCAGGUGUCAUCGAACACCCUUGUGCUUGCUGUCACCCGCUGCCUGUCUGCAGGAUCCCGGAUUCCGUAUCAGGGGACCGAAAUUAGUCGGAAAAUAGGAAGCAGGUGCUCGCUUGGAUGGAACCCUGACCCUGUGCUCACACUUGUAGGAGGAGGGCUCUGCAGGCCGCCUCCCGGAACGGGAGGUUCCCAAGCCACUGCACUUCGGAGGGGCUGUAAUUAGAGUUGCACAUUCAUUCAGUUCCCAGUAAAGUAGAACGUGCUCCAGCCAGUGAGGAAAAGGUGUUUUUAAAAAUUAGAUUGGCCGAGUGCGGUGGCUCAUGCCUUUUACCUCAACACUUUGGGAGACAAAGGUGGGAGGAUCACCUGUGGCCAGGAGUUCAAGACCAGCCUGGGCAACAGAGCCUGUCUCUGGGGAAGAAUAAAAAAAAAAAUUGAGCCUUUGUCA
rnacentral:lncRNA from 10 species